rnacentral:rRNA from 1 species
GUGGGGAAUAUUGCGCAAUGGGCGAAAGCCUGACGCAGCGACGCCGCGUGGGGGAUGAAUGCCUUCGGGUUGUAAACCCCUUUCGGCAGGGACGAAGCGAAAGUGACGGUACCUGCAGAAGAAGUCCCGGCUAACUACGUGCCAGCAGCCGCGGUAAGACGUAGGGGACGAGCGUUGUCCGGAUUCAUUGGGCGUAAAGCGCGCGCAGGCGGCCGUGUAAGUCGGGUGUGAAAUCCCGGAGCUCAACUCCGGAACUGCACUCGAAACUGCACGGCUCGAGGUAGGUAGGGGAGAUCGGAAUUCCUGGUGUAGCGGUGGAAUGCGCAGAUAUCAGGAGGAACACCGGUGGCGAAGGCGGAUCUCUGGGCCUUACCUGACGCUCAGGCGCGAAAGCUAGGGGAGCGAACAGGAUUAGAAACCCGGGUAGUCC